CACUGUGGCGGACCGGGAUUUUUUUUGGGGAGGGGGGGGAGGGAAAUUGAAUAAUUUUGGGGGGGAGGAGGAAAUACGUAAUUCCCUCCCCCUCGGGAAACGAGGGGCUUUGUCCUUCUCCUUAAUGACGACUCGGUUAUUUAUUGGGGGGGAGGCCCCCCAGCGGCAUCCUACUUGUUUGUGGGAGGUCACCCCCCCGACUGAGGCCGGUCCAGCUCCUCGGGGGCAGCAGGGGGAUUUUGACAAUGGCGCAGCAGAUCCAGCAUCAGCCGUGGUGAAGAAGCCUUCGGCUGUAAGCCCUUUGUUGGGAAGAAUACAGAUGGUAAUACUCGUUGGCUGACGGUACCCAAGAAUAAGCACCGCCUACUUCGUACCAGCAGCCGCGGUAUACGAAGGUGCAAGCGUCACUCGGAAUACUGAGCGUAAAGCGGCGUAGGUGGUCGUUUAGUCCGCAGAGAAAACCUCGGCUCAACAUCGGAACUACAGUGGAUAAUGGUCGACUAGAGUGUGGUAGAGGGUAGCGGAAUUCUUGGUGUAGCAGUGAAAUACGUAGAGAUCAUGAGGAACAUCCAUGGCGAAGGCAGCUACCUGGACCAACACUGACACUGAGGCACGAAAGCGUGGGGAGCAAACAGGAUUAGAUGCCCUGGUAGUCCACGCCCUAAACGAUGAGAACUGGAUGUUGGGUGCAAUUUGGCACGCAGUAUUGAAGAUAACGCGUUAAGUUCGCCGCCUGGGGAGUGCGGUCGCAAGAGUGAAACUCAAAGGAAUAGACGGGGGCCCGCACAAGCGCUGGAGUAUGUGGUUUAAUUUGAUGCAACGCGAAGAACCUUACCUGUCCUUGACAUGUCGAGAUCUUUCCAGAGAUGGAUUGGUGCCUUCGGGAACUCGAACACAGGUGCUGCAUGGCUGUCGUCAGCUCGUGUCGUGAGAUGUUGGGUUAAGUCCCGCAACGAGCGCACCCCCUGUCCCUAGUUGCCAGCACGUAAUGGUGGGGACUUUAAGGAGGCCGCCCGGGGCAAACCGGAGGAAGGGGGGGAAGGCGUCAAGUCCUCAUGGCCCUUUCGGCCCGGGCUUCCCCCGUUCUUCAAUGGUAGGGACAGAGGGGUGCAAGCCGGCGGCGGUAAGCCAAUCCCAGAAACCCUAUUUCAGUUCGGAUUGGAGUUUGCAACUUGGCUCCCUGAAGUUGGAAUCGGUAGUAAUUGCAGAUUCGCAAUGCCGCGGUGAAUACGUUCCCGGGCCUUGUACACACCGCCCGUCACACCAUGGGAGUGGUUGCACCAGAAGCAGUUAGCUUAACCUUCGGGAGGGCGCUGCUCUAUGGAUGAUUCCGUCGGGG
rnacentral:rRNA from 1 species